AGUGAACGCUGGCGGUAGGCCUAACACAUGCAAGUCGAACGGCAGCACAGGAGAGCUUGCUCUCUGGGUGGCGAGUGGCGGACGGGUGAGGAAUACAUCGGAAUCUACUUUUUCGUGGGGGAUAACGUAGGGAAACUUACGCUAAUACCGCAUACGACCUACGGGUGAAAGCAGGGGACCUUCGGGCCUUGCGCGAUUGAAUGAGCCGAUGCCGGAUUAGCUAGUUGGCGGGGUAAAGGCCCACCAAGGCGACGAUCCGUAGCUGGUCUGAGAGGAUGAUCAGCCACACUGGAACUGAGACACGGUCCAGACUCCUACGGGAGGCAGCAGUGGGGAAUAUUGGACAAUGGGCGCAAGCCUGAUCCAGCCAUACCGCGUGGGUGAAGAAGGCCUUCGGGUUGUAAAGCCCUUUUGUUGGGAAAGAAAUCCAGCUGGCUAAUACCCGGUUGGGAUGACGGUACCCGAAGAAUAAGCACCGGCUAACUUCGUGCCAGCAGCCGCAGUAA
rnacentral:rRNA from 1 species